GUCGUACGAGAGUUUUUAACUCUAGUGGCGGACGGGUGAGUAACACGUGAGAAUUUACCUUUAGGAGGGGGAUAACAGCGUAUCAAUAGAUAUUACGGAAACGGCUGCUAAUACCCCAUAUGCUUUUGAGUGAAAUAGAUUUAUCUGCCUAAAGAGAAGCUCGCGGCUGAUUAGCUUGUUGGUAAGGUAAUGGCUUACCAAGGCGACGAUCAGUAUCUGGUUUGAGAGGACGAUCAGACACACUGGAACUGAGACACGGUCCAGACUCCUACGGGAGGCAGCAGUGGGGAAUUUUCCGCAAUGGGCGAAAGCCUGACGGAGCAAUACCGCGUGAGGGAAGACGGCCUAUGGGUUGUAAACCUCUUUUUUUCAGGGAGGAAUUCAAUGACGUGUACCUGAGGAAUAAGCAUCGGCUAACUCCGUGCCAGCAGCCGCGGUAAUACG
rnacentral:rRNA from 1 species